rnacentral:rRNA from 1 species
AGCUUUUUGAUUUUUAAUAGAAAGUAACUUCUGCCCAAUGACUUUAAAAAUUAAAUGGCCGCAGUACACUGACUGUGCUAAGGUAGCAUAAUCAAUUGGCUUUUAAUUAAGGUCUAGAAUGAAUGAAGCCAUGGGGAAAGCUUUUAUUAACUAAGAUCUAGUAAACUUAAUGAUGUGGUGUAAAUACCAUAACAAUGAAAAUAGACGAGAAGACCCUAAGAAUUUUACUUUAAUGGUUUUGUUGGGGUGACAAAUUAACAAUUGUAAAACUUAAUUAAGGUUUGAAACUACAAGACGAAUAAUUAUUAAGAAUGGUUAAAUUACCUUAGGGAUAACAGCGUAAUGUAAAUAAACGAUUACGACCUCGAUGUUGGAUUAGGGUAUUAAUGGUUAGUAACUUAUUAAUAAGGUUCUGUUCGAACAUAUAGACCCU